GACGCACUCUGGCGGCGUGCUUAACACAUGCAAGUCGAACGGUAAGGCUCCAGCUUGCUGGGGUACACGAGUGGCGAACGGGUGAGUAACACGUGGGUGACCUGCCCUGCACUUCGGGAUAAGCCUGGGAAACUGGGUCUAAUACCGGAUAGGACCGCACCGUGAGGGUGUGGUGGAAAGUUUUUUCGGUGUGGGAUGGGCCCGCGGCCUAUCAGCUUGUUGGUGGGGUAAUGGCCUACCAAGGCGGCGACGGGUAGCCGGCCUGAGAGGGUGGACGGCCACAUUGGGACUGAGACACGGCCCAGACUCCUACGGGAGGCAGCAGUGGGGAAUAUUGCACAAUGGGCGGAAGCCUGAUGCAGCGACGCCGCGUGGGGGAUGACGGCCUUCGGGUUGUAAACUCCUUUCACCAUCGACGAAGGGUUUCUGACGGUAGAUGGAGAAGAAGCACCGGCUAACUACGUGCCAGCAGCCGCGGUAAUACGUAGGGUGCGAGCGUUGUCCGGAAUUACUGGGCGUAAAGAGCUCGUAGGUGGUUUGUCGCGUCGUCUGUGAAAUUCCGGGGCUUAACUCCGGGCGUGCAGGCGAUACGGGCAUAACUUGAGUACUGUAGGGGAGACUGGAAUUCCUGGUGUAGCGGUGAAAUGCGCAGAUAUCAGGAGGAACACCGGUGGCGAAGGCGGGUCUCUGGGCAGUAACUGACGCUGAGGAGCGAAAGCAUGGGGAGCGAACAGGAUUAGAUACCCUGGUAGUCCAUGCCGCAAACGGUGGGCGCUAGGUGUGGGUUUCCUUCCACGGGAUCCGUGCCGUAGCUAACGCAUUAAGCGCCCCGCCUGGGGAGUACGGCCGCAAGGCUAAAACUCAAAGGAAUUGACGGGGGCCCGCACAAGCGGCGGAGCAUGUGGAUUAAUUCGAUGCAACGCGAAGAACCUUACCUGGGCUUGACAUAUACAGGAUCGCGCCAGAGAUGGUGUUUCCCUUGUGGCUUGUAUACAGGUGGUGCAUGGUUGUCGUCAGCUCGUGUCGUGAGAUGUUGGGUUAAGUCCCGCAACGAGCGCAACCCUUGUCUUAUGUUGCCAGCACGUUGUGGUGGGGACUCGUAAGAAACUGCCGGGGUUAACUCGGAGGAAGGUGGGGAUGACGUCAAAUCAUCAUGCCCCUUAUGUCCAGGGCUUCACACAUGCUACAAUGGUCGGUACAGUGGGUUGCCAGUCCGUGAGGGCGAGCUAAUCCCGCAAAGCCGGUCUCAGUUCGGAUCGGGGUCUGCAACUCGACCCCGUGAAGUCGGAGUCGCUAGUAAUCGCAGAUCAGCAACGCUGCGGUGAAUACGUUCCCGGGCCU
rnacentral:rRNA from 1 species